GGCCUUGACAUACUAAGAACUUUCCAGAGAUGGAUUGGUGCCUUCGGGAACUUAGAUACAGGUGCUGCAUGGCUGUCGUCAGCUCGUGUCGUGAGAUGUUGGGUUAAGUCCCGCAACGAGCGCAACCCUUUUCCUUAUUUGCCAGCGGGUCAUGCCGGGAACUUUAAGGAUACUGCCAGUGACAAACUGGAGGAAGGCGGGGACGACGUCAAGUCAUCAUGGCCCUUACGGCCAGGGCUACACACGUGCUACAAUGGUCGGUACAAAGGGUUGCUACCUCGCGAGAGGAUGCUAAUCUCAAAAAGCCGAUCGUAGUCCGGAUCGCAGUCUGCAACUCGACUGCGUGAAGUCGGAAUCGCUAGUAAUCGCGGAUCAGAAUGCCGCGGUGAAUACGUUCCCGGGCCUUGUACACACCGCCCGUCACACCAUGGGAGUUUGUUGCACCAGAAGUAGGUAGUCUAACCGCAAGGAGGACGCUUACCACGGUGUGGCCGAUGACUGGGGGUGAAGUCGUAACAAGGUAAGCGUAGAUGA
rnacentral:rRNA from 1 species